rnacentral:rRNA from 1 species
AACGAACGCUGGCGGCGCGUUUUAAGCAUGCAAGUCGGACGGUAGUUCCGUCCUUCGGGAUGUUUACAUCCUGUGGAUGGGAUGAGAGUGGCGGACGGGUGAGUAACACGUAGGUUAUCUACCUCUGGAUGGGGGAUAGCCCAUGGAAACAUGGGGUAAUACCGCAUGAAGUCUUUUGGUGUAGAGCUGAUUGAUGAAAGGCGCGAUAUGUGUCGUCCGGAGAUGAGCCUGCGGUCCAUUAGUUAGUUGGCAGGGUAAAGGCCUACCAAGACGACGAUGGAUAGCCGGCCUGAGAGGGUGUACGGUCACACUGGGACUGAGACACGGCCCAGACUCCUACGGGAGGCAGCAGCUAAGAAUCUUCCGCAAUGGGGGAAACCCUGACGGAGCGACGCCGCGUGGACGAAGAAGGCAGGAAUGUUGUAAAGUCCUUUUCUUGACGAAGAAUAAGGCGGGGAGUGGAAAGCCCUGCUGAUGACGUUAGUCGAGGAAUAAGCCCCGGCCAAUUACGUGCCAGCAGCCGCGGUAACACGUAAGGGGCGAGCGUUGUUCGGAAUUAUUGGGCGUAAAGGGCGUGUAGGCGGCUCUGCAAGCCUGGUGUUAAAGGUCAAGGCUCAACCUUGAUUUUGCGCCGGGGACUGUGGGGCUAGAGUUCAGGAGGGGAAGCUGGAAUUCCUGGUGUAGGGGUGAAAUCUGUAGAUAUCAGGAAGAACACCGGUGGCGAAGGCGAGCUUCUGGCCAUGGACUGACGCUGAGGCGCGAAAGCGUGGGGAGCGAACAGGAUUAGAUACCCUGGUAGUCCACGCUGUAAACGAUGUGCACUGGGUGUUGGUGCUGUGAAAGCAUCAGUGCCGUAGCUAACGCGAUAAGUGCACCGCCUGGGGAGUAUGCUCGCAAGGGUG